rnacentral:rRNA from 1 species
GAUGAACGCUGGCGGCGUGCCUAAUACAUGCAAGUCGAGCGAACGGACGAGAAGCUUGCUUUUCUGAUGUUAGCGGCGGACGGGUGAGUAACACGUGGAUAACCUACCUAUAAGACUGGGAUAACUUCGGGAAACCGGAGCUAAUACCGGAUAAUAUUUUGAACCGCAUGGUUCAAAAGUGAAAGACGGUCUUGCUGUCACUUAUAGAUGGAUCCGCGCUGCAUUAGCUAGUUGGUAAGGUAACGGCUUACCAAGGCAACGAUGCAUAGCCGACCUGAGAGGUUGAUCGGCCACACUGGAACUGGGCCCCGGUCCAGACUCCUACGGGAGGCAGCAGUAGGGAAUCUUCCGCAAUGGGCGAAAGCCUGACGGAGCAACGCGGCGUGAGUGAUGAAGGUCUUCGGUUCGUAAACCUCUGUUAUUAGGGAAGAACAUAUGUGUAAGUACUGUGCACAUCUUGACGGUACCUAAUCAGAAAGCCACGGCUAACUACGUG